UUUUACUUAUAAAUGGUUUGAAAACUUUCAUUUACAAAAUGCAAAAUAAGAAAAAUAUGACUAACAUCAACAUGUUUGUUUGUGCUUUGAUCAUCUCUCUUUUUAUGUUUCUCAAUGAACUCUCUGCUCAUCGGAUAAGUGAUAUCCCUUGCAAAGUUGAUAGUGAUUGUCCACAACCAAGCAUAAACCGUUACAAUUGGUGGUGCCGAAAAGAUUUUUGUGUGAAAUAUUACUUGUGAGGGAACAUUUAAUAAGUAUUGCUAGCUCAUGUCUGUAAUAUAUGUAUUAAUUUCUAGAAUAUUAUAUCUGAUAAUAAAUACUAGAUCGCAUUUCCGUGAGUUGGCACGUGUCAUAUAUAUGUAUGCAAAUAAUAAUCAUGGUUAUAUAUAACAAAAUACUAUAUAACCAUGAUGAGUUAACUCGUCUAAAUUAUAAAAAAUAAAUUUUUUUUUUUCAAA